GAUGAACGCUGGCGGCGUGCUUAACACAUGCAAGUCGAACGAUGAAGCCCAGCUUGCUGGGUGGAUUAGUGGCGAACGGGUGAGUAACACGUGAGUAACCUGCCCUUGACUCUGGGAUAAGCCCGGGAAACUGGAUCUAAUACCGGAUAGGAGCGCCUGUCGCAUGACGGGUGUUGGAAAGAUUUUUCGGUCAUGGAUGGACUCGCGGCCUAUCAGCUUGUUGGUGAGGUAAUGGCUCACCAAGGCGACGACGGGUAGCCGGCCUGAGAGGGUGACCGGCCACACUGGGACUGAGACACGGCCCAGACUCCUACGGGAGGCAGCAGUGGGGAAUAUUGCACAAUGGGCGGAAGCCUGAUGCAGCGACGCCGCGUGAGGGAUGACGGCCUUCGGGUUGUAAACCUCUUUCAGUAGGGAAGAAGCGAAAGUGACGUACCUGCAGAAGAGCA
rnacentral:rRNA from 1 species